GACGUAGGGUGCGAGCGUUGUCCGGAAUUAUUGGGCGUAAAGAGCUCGUAGGUGGUUUGUCGCGUUGUUCGUGAAAACUCACAGCUUAACUGUGGGCGUGCGGGCGAUACGGGCAGACUGGAGUACUGCAGGGGAGACUGGAAUUCCUGGUGUAGCGGUGGAAUGCGCAGAUAUCAGGAGGAACACCGGUGGCGAAGGCGGGUCUCUGGGCAGUAACUGACGCUGAGGAGCGAAAGCGUGGGGAGCGAACAGG
rnacentral:rRNA from 1 species